GAGAUUGAAACGAUGAGGAAAACGAAGUGCCUAAUCCCCGUUGGACGCUAACUACAGGGCAAGCUCCCCAGUGUUUUAGUUGUGUUUCGGAGGCCGAGAACCGCUAUCGGGCUUCCUCGGACUCUGGCCCUGGAGGGGGGAACGGCGAGGGAGAAGGCGAAACGAGUCUCCAGUGUGUUCUUGGGGCCUGGUGCGAGGCCCAGAGAAUUCUCUGCAGGCCUUUGCCCGGGUACUGAUUAAGGCUGCGAAGAGACGCACCGGGCUGCGGGCUUAGCUUCAGGCUUCUGAAGUCAGAGGGAGGGCUGAGAGCUUACACUUUUGGAGCUCCCCGGGAGACGGCAACUACCCAACCGUGUGUGUGUGUUUGUGUAUGUGUCUUUUGUUGAGCUUCGGCUGGCUGUGUUAUUCAUUCAACAAAUAUUUAUCGAUCUUCGGCAGUGUGCCAGACAUACCUUCUUCUCAAAUCUUCACAUCAAACCUGAAUUAUCUCCAUUUAAUGAUGAGGAAACUCGGGCUCAAAGAAGUUAAGUGUUCUAGCCAAGACUGCAUAGAACAUGGAGGAGACAUAUUUCCGCCUAUUUCUC
rnacentral:antisense_RNA from 1 species